ACUUUUUACGUCCAUAACUAAAACCUUAUGUGCCUUAUAUGUUAGCACCUUUGGUAUUCAAUUGGACUAUAGUAAACUCCAUGUUUAACUAUUCCUCUUAAGGAUAUCGUCUCAAAGAUAUAAACCUUAAUAAAGUAAAACCAACAAAAUUACUUG
rfam:Stomoxys calcitrans breed 8C7A2A5H3J4 unplaced genomic scaffold Scaffold0, whole genome shotgun sequence.